rnacentral:rRNA from 1 species
GACGAACGCUGGCGGCGUGCUUAACACAUGCAAGUCGAACGGUAAGGCCCUUCGGGGUACACGAGUGGCGAACGGGUGAGUAACACGUGGGUGAUCUGCCCUGCACUUCGGGAUAAGCCUGGGAAACUGGGUCUAAUACCGGAUAGGACCAUGGACUUCACGGUUUGUGGUGGAAAGCUUUUGCGGUGUGGGAUGGGCCCGCGGCCUAUCAGCUUGUUGGUGGGGUAAUGGCCUACCAAGGCGACGACGGGUAGCCGGCCUGAGAGGGUGUCCGGCCACACUGGGACUGAGAUACGGCCCAGACUCCUACGGGAGGCAGCAGUGGGGAAUAUUGCACAAUGGGCGCAAGCCUGAUGCAGCGACGCCGCGUGAGGGAUGACGGCCUUCGGGUUGUAAACCUCUUUCAAUAGGGACGAAGCGCAAGUGACGGUACCUAUAGAAGAAGCACCGGCCAACUACGUG